GAAGCUACCUGUGGCUCACAGGCCCUCUGACCUGAAGCCUGGUUGCAUGGACCAUAAUAGUCCAUCUGUCCAAGAUGGGUUCCUACAGUUUGGAGUAACAGAUGGAUCAAUAGAGGAGUUCCUCUCACCUUUUCAUUCUUAGGCCAAAAGGGAGGAACAUUCCAGCUCCAUCGGAACAGAAAAUCCUCUCCUUGGGAACCUUCUGAACCUUGCCCUAUGUAUCCUUUUAUGUGACCGUUCAUUUGUAUCCUUUAUAAUGUAUUGGCAAUAGUAAAUAAACUAUUUUCCUGGGUUCU